rnacentral:lncRNA from 1 species
CAAAAGUUCACAUAAUUGAUCUGCUUAUGGACCAUCUUGUCUCUUACUAAUCUCUUAUUACUUGUGUUGUGAUAUCAUUUUACACUGGAAAUCAUGACCUACAGGCAGCAGCUGAAAGAUAGAAGGAUUCUGUGUGAACCACCAGUUAUUUAGGAGCUGGUAGGUGUUGGGGCUUUUUUCCUGAAACAGUAAUGAGUGCAGUCUGAUAGCUGAAGAAGAUAAAAUCUUGGCCGUAGCAGCAAAGUUUGUACAGUUUCUCCAGCCACAAGUGCCGUGAGCUGGUGAUAGCAGGCAAAUGUGGCUGCCAUCAUAUAUCUAUCUAUAUCUUCAGCCCCACAGAGCAAGGCUCCCUGGCAGAGAUUGGUAUUGCUUCUGAUCCAUGCACUUCCAAUAUUUGCUAGGAAUGGCAGUAUCUUGCUAGAAGGAUUAUACAAUGCUGCUAAUGACUAUUAAUUUGUUAAAGGAAUUAAGCAACUAGCCCUUAGGAUGAAGAUUUCAGGAAACCAGCAAAGUGCUUUGAACUGAAGAAGCACAGGACUUGAGAUGCACACAAUAUAAAAAGAAAGCAGUUAUGAUGCUAAGAGGGACAAUGCUGCCUACACCCAGGUGAAAUUACAAGAUGUUUGGCUGGGGAAUUGCAACAUAAAGGGAUUACUCACCACAAAGGAAAAUUCCAGAAGAGUUUUUCCAGAAAAAGCAGCAAAGAAGGCAUUAAAUUACAUGCUAUUUAUUUCUUUACUGUGAGGCCCUCAUGGUACCUUUACUCCAAGAAUUAUGCACUUAUGAUAUGACUCAAUAGCAACAAAUGGAAGACAUCAUGUCUAGAUCUAUCUUUACAUGAGAAUAUGAUACAACAAUUACAUUUAUAAACCUGUAAGAUCAGCACACAAAUUUUUGAGCAGUGUGUAUAAUAGCGAAUUCAUCAUCUUCUCCAGCAUUCUAAAUGCCAUUCUUGCAGCAAGGAAUGAGGACAGGUCAGCAUCAUGGGCACUACUAAAGAACCAUCGGUACCCACUAUUCUUUGACACGAGGAUAGAAAGUAUUCAACUUCUUAAAAGAUGUGCUAUGACUUCAAAUAUGUUUUUAGAUCCAACUAUGACUGGCUGAGACUCUUCUAAGGAACUUGAGAUAAUUCCAGUAUCACCAUGUAAGAAUAUGUCUGGAUGAAGCAGUCUGAAGAUCACUGUAUGAUAUUAACUUUGGGUAAGACUUUUUAGUAAAUCAGAACUUAUCUUUCACUGCUAUUAACACAAUCACAUUGCACUCCCUAAAGUAAGAUUUUGCUUGGACAGCACCAUUAACCAGAGUGUAAUUUUACCUGAGAAAGAAUAAAAGAACUCACUUCUCUCA